AACGAACGCUGGCGGCAUGCCUAACACAUGCAAGUCGAACGAGACCUUCGGGUCUAGUGGCGCACGGGUGCGUAACGCGUGGGAACCUGCCCUUAGGUUCGGAAUAACUCCCCGAAAGGGGUGCUAAUACCGGAUAAUGUCUUCGGACCAAAGAUUUAUCGCCUUUGGAUGGGCCCGCGUUGGAUUAGCUAGUUGGUAGGGUAAAAGCCUACCAAGGCGACGAUCCAUAGCUGGUCUGAGAGGAUGAUCAGCCACACUGGGACUGAGACACGGCCCAGACUCCUACGGGAGGGAGCAGAGGGGAAUAUUGGAAAAUGGGGGGAAGGCUGAACCAGCAAGGCCGGGUGAGUGAUGAAGGCCUUAGGGUUGUAAAGCUCUUUUACCCGGGAUGAUAAUGACAGUACCGGGAGAAUAAGCUCCGGCUAACUCCGUG
rnacentral:rRNA from 1 species